rnacentral:rRNA from 1 species
UACGUAGGGUGCAAGCGUUGUCCGGAAUUAUUGGGCGUAAAGAGCUUGUAGGCGGUUUGUCGCGUCUGCUGUGAAAUUUCGGGGCUCAACCCCGAACUUGCAGUGGGUACGGGCAGACUAGAGUGUGGUAGGGGAGACUGGAAUUCCUGGUGUAGCGGUGAAAUGCGCAGAUAUCUGGAGGAAUACCGGUGGCGAAGGCGGCAUCCUGGACCGGCAUUGACGCUGAUGAGCGAAAGCUAGGGGAGCAAACGGG